CGAGCGGACAGAUGGGAGCUUGCUCCCUGAUGUUAGCGGCGGACGGGUGAGUAACACGUGGGUAACCUGCCUGUAAGACUGGGAUAACUCCGGGAAACCGGGGCUAAUACCGGAUGGUUGUUUGAACCGCAUGGUUCAAACAUAAAAGGUGGCUUCGGCUACCACUUACAGAUGGACCCGCGGCGCAUUAGCUAGUUGGUGAGGUAAUGGCUCACCAAGGCAACGAUGCGUAGCCGACCUGAGAGGGUGAUCGGCCACACUGGGACUGAGACACGGCCCAGACUCCUACGGGAGGCAGCAGUAGGGAAUCUUCCGCAAUGGACGAAAGUCUGACGGAGCAACGCCGCGUGAGUGAUGAAGGUUUUCGGAUCGUAAAGCUCUGUUGUUAGGGAAGAACAAGUACCGUUCGAAUAGGGCGGUACCUUGACGGUACCUAACCAGAAAGCCACGGCUAACUACGUGCCAGCAGCCGCGGUAAUACGUAGGUGGCAAGCGUUGUCCGGAAUUAUUGGGCGUAAAGGGCUCGCAGGCGGUUUCUUAAGUCUGAUGUGAAAGCCCCCGGCUCAACCGGGGAGGGUCAUUGGAAACUGGGGAACUUGA
rnacentral:rRNA from 1 species